CAUCCAGCCUCUGCCAGCUCUCCCUUGAUCGGCAGAGCUGAGCCCAGCUUUGCUUGGCCUGGAGGGAGAUGGCCUUUAUUGCAGCACGAACCAAGUGAGGAGGACUGCAUGUCAACAGCUCUCCAGGAGCCACCAAAGGUUAUGAUGAAUUAGAACCCUGAGUCCACAAACAGAUAUUUCCACAUCAAUGUUCACAGCAGCAUUAUUCCCAGUCACCAAGAGGUGGAAACAACCUCCGUUCAUCAGUCGGAGGCCCCUGCAGGAGCCCCUGUGAUAGCCGGUGCUGAUGCAUCCAGACCCCACCCUCUCUCCUGGACCAUUGCAUGGGUGCCUGCCGGUCUCACCAUCUGCCCUCCCUGUGCCCCCCACAGCCUCCUGCGAUGAUUUUUUAAAUGACAAGUUGGCUGUCUGACUGCCUGGGAAGCACUUCAGGGGGUGGGAGCUGGAUCAGGGCCCCCGCAUUCGCUGUGCUUCCCCCAUGACAGCGUGUGUCACAC